UCCGUUUAAAAAAACAAAGGACUAGGAAGAGGUGAAAGGAAAAUGAAAUUGCAGCCCGAGUGCAUCAGUUCCAAUUAUGUUUAUUAGUUUGCAUUCACGGUUCAUUGAUAGUGUGAUUAUACUCUGAGCAGUGCAUAGCAAUCCUGAUGCAGGGGCAGAAUGAAGAGCAGUGAAGUGUGUGGCUGGGCUGAUGACAUGAAAGUAAGUAAUGAAUUCGGAAGCUGCCUU
rnacentral:lncRNA from 1 species